AUUCGACAGCCUGACUGGAGCACUACCGCGUGAGGGAGGAAGGCUCUAUAGGGUUGUAAACCUCUCUCUUCUCAGGGAAUAAGCAAGUGAAGGUACCUGAGGAAUCAGCAUCGGCUAACUCCGUGCCAGCAGCCGCGGUAAUACGGAGGAUGCAAGCGUUAUCCGGAAUGAUUGGGCGUAAAGCGUCCGUAGGUGGCUGAGUGAGACUAUUAUUAAAGAAAAAAGCAAAAAAAGUCAAAAUUGCGAGAGUAAGCCAGAGGGAAUUCCUGGUGUAGCGGUGAAAUGCGUAGAGAUCAGGCCCAACACCGGUGGCGAAAGCGCUCUGCUAGGCCGCUACUGACACUGAGCCACGAAAGCUAGGGGA
rnacentral:rRNA from 1 species